UACGAAGGGGGCGAGCGUUGUUCGGAUUUACUGGGCGUAAAGGGCGCGCAGGCGGCGCAUUUUGUCAGGCGUGAAAGCCCCGGGCUUAACCUGGGAACUGCGUUUGAUACGGAUGGGCUAGAGUUCGGGAGAGGAGAGUGGAAUUCCCAGUGUAGAGGUGAAAUUCGUAGAUAUUGGGAAGAACACCGGUGGCGAAGGCGGCUCUCUGGGACGGUACUGACGCUGAGACGCGAAAGCGUGGGGAGCGAACAGG
rnacentral:rRNA from 1 species